AAAAGGUGGCUAUGCUACCGCUUUUGGAUGGGCCCGCGGCGCAUUAGCUAGUUGGUGGGGUAAAGGCUUACCAAGGCAAUGAUGCGUAGCCGAACUGAGAGGUUGAUCGGCCACAUUGGGCCUGAGACACGGCCCAAACUCCUACGGGAGGCAGCAGUAGGGAAUCUUCCACAAUGGGCGAAAGCCUGAUGGAGCAACGCCGCGUGGGUGAAGAAGGUCUUCGGAUCGUAAAACCCUGUUGUUAGAGAAGAAAGUGCGUGAGAGUAACUGUUCACGUUUCGACGGUAUCUAACCAGAAAGCCACGGCUAACUACGUGCCAGCAGCCGCGGUAAUACGUAGGUGGCAAGCGUUAUCCGGAUUUAUUGGGCGUAAAGGGAACGCAGGCGGUCUUUUAAGUCUGAUGUGAAAGCCUUCGGCUUAACCGGAGUAGUGCAUUGGAAACUGGGAGACUUGAGUGCAGAAGAGGAGAGUGGAACUCCAUGUGUAGCGGUGAAAUGCGUAGAUAUAUGGAAGAACACCAGUGGCGAAAGCGGCUCUCUGGUCUGUAACUGACGCUGAGGUUCGAAAGCGUGGGUAGCAAACAGGAUUAGAUACCCUGGUAGUCCACGCCGUAAACGAUGAAUGCUAAGUGUUGGAGGGUUUCCGCCCUUCA
rnacentral:rRNA from 1 species